AAAAGAGAGAGAGAGUAGAAAAGGCUGGCGUCGGCUGCCAGCACACAGGGACUCUUCUUCCUCCAUCCAUUCUUUUAUUAUACAAUAUUUCCUUCUUUUUUCUCUUCUCGCUUCUAGCUCUCCUUCUUUUCAUUCCUCUUCCUCUUAUUAGAGCUGCCUUAAAGAGCAACUCCUCAGGAUUGCUGACUAAUUCAACCGCUCUUUAUUAUUAUAUGCAUAUAUUGAAUUUUUUUAUUACUACUUGGUAUCUUAGGAACCCACGCCCCUUUGUCACUUAUUAAAGCCUGUCAACUCAGGAUGGAGGAUCCCGGCUUUUCAAUAAAUGAGAAUUUAUCCUGGAUUCUUUACAUUCCUCCCAAAAUGCAUUGAGAAUCCCCUUUUUCAAAAUCCAACUAGCAAGAUACACAAUAUGUGGGAUUAGUAGAAGUAAGUCAUUUAAUUGACGGGUAAGGAAGAAAAACAUUUUUGGAAUAAUGGACAAUGAAUACAUCCUUAAGUCAAUAUACUGUUAUUAAAAAGAAGGUUAUUUACAUAAUAAUAAAUAUAUUUUGGAAUGUAGAGAGAAAAGAGAGAUUAAUAGAGAGAACCAAACUGGAAUUCAAUCUUAUGGUUAUUUCUACCUGAAUUUCAUGCCUUAUGAUUGGAUCUAACUCUCACAAUCUUUUUAGUACUAUCACUCAGAUCCGCCAAUUUUAUCCAUUCGUCCCGUUCUUUGACAAUUAAUUUUAUAAAUGAAUUAAAUCUAGCUGAGGCACGAUGCCUCUAAUGAUCAAAUCAUCCAGAGGCAUGCAUUCAUCAUCCACACUCUGUGCAUGCAGGGUAGUAAUAAUGAAUGAAAAUUAAUCAUUGGUAGGUAUGAAUGUACAUGCCUGACCUAUUUUUGAUUCAUUGUUAUUAUUAUUAUUUUUUGCUAUUUACUUUCCUUGUUUUGAAUAUUUUUGUUUGUUUGUAUAAUAAUAAUAAUAAAAUUCUAAGUAAAUCCCUUGUUGAGCAUUCAAUGAAACCUUAUGAAACAACGUAACCUCAUAAUAUCUCAUUAAUAGGCUACCUAUGAGAACCUCUUUAUCCUUUUGUUGGUUUUCUUAUAAAAUACUUAGUAUGUACUGUUAGAUUUAGUCUUACCACCACGACCCAAUCUGGUUUGUACGUAUUUAGAUAUAAUAUGGAAUAGAAAGUAUUUAUAUAUUCAUUUUAGAUCAUGAUGACGAAUGUUAUAGUCAUGGUCUGAUUAUAUGUAAUAUGGAUACAGUCAUACCUUGACAUACGAGUUUAAUUCGUUCCUGGACGGAGAUUGUUAGUCAAAGCAAUUCAUUCUAUAUGAAAUAACUUUAAAAAAUCACGGCCCAUUGUCAAUUAUCUACCAACUUGUAUGGCAAUGCAUAUUUCGACUCGCAAUCUGCCUCGUAUCUUAUAAUUUUUUUAUUAAAAAAACCUUCUUAUGUCGGGCUACUCGUAUCUAAAAGGUAAUAUUACUGUAUUCAGUAUUGCCAAACGCAUAAUAUAUAUGUAUGUAUGUAUAUGAUUAUGAGUGUUUUAGAAAACCAGGUCUUUCUUUCAGGAUUUGAGAAAACAUGAAACCCAAAUUUCGCCUCAUGUUUUGUCGUUAUUCUUUUCUUCACACACGCUCAUAAGAUGAAAAUACACAUUUUGGUCUUCUUCUUAUUACCUUUUAAGUUAUGACUAGUACCUACAUAGAACGAACACACGUAUCGAAGGAAUGUAAGUAUCCUGAAUGGGCCCUUUUGCCUGUUUCACUGUAAAACAUGUAAGUCCCGGACGGGACUCUUUCCUCAUUAUGGACAAAAAUAUUCAAGGAAUUGAAGAAUCUGUGAUUACUUAUUAUUUUACUAUUUAAGUUUUUGUCACUUAUAUUAAUGAGUCUCCAUCUCAAAUAUAAUGUAAUUUCUUUAUAUAUAAUAUU
rnacentral:lncRNA from 1 species